GACCCCUACCCGGAAGAGGGCGCCUGAGUCAGGGCCACCCCUGUCCUCUGGGCUUGGGGACAAAAGCUCCUGAGACCUCGAAGGCAGAAAAGACUCGAGGCUGCUCUCCUGCAGCGUGUGUCCUCAGGGAAGUGGACAAGGGGGAUUCGCCACAAACUCAGGCCUGUCCUAGCCCUUCCUCCAGCAACGGGUCUGGAGGCAGGGAGGCGGGCAGCGCUCUCUCCGAGUCCAGACGUGCCGGAGGCUGGUCUUUCCAGCUGGAAGCGGAGCCCUCGGUGUGCUCCCCCUUGCCACCCUUAACUCCCUCCGUCCUGCAGGUCGUGGCCACUCCAGGAAGGAGAAGCAGAACUGUCAGACACUGACCAGUCUCCAUGGUGACCCUUGUGUUUAGCAAUACCUGGGGACUGACUACAGUGCUUGUCCACUGGCAACAGGAAAAGCACACAGAUGAGCCAGGGGAAGGAACGGUAAAGCCUUGCAGCCUUCCAGCUCUCCAGGGCAGGCUCUCCACAUCUGAUUGCCCCAGUGCAUCUGCAGGCUACCACCUGUCCAUUUGCUGCACCAGAAGUUUGCGUGAAGGUUCUGCCUUGUCUACAC
rnacentral:lncRNA from 1 species